rnacentral:rRNA from 1 species
UACAUAGGGGGCAAGCGUUAUCCGGAAUUAUUGGGCGUAAAGCGCGCGCAGGCGGCCGCCUAAGCGGGACCUCUAAUCCCGGGGCUCAACCCCGGGCCGGGUCCCGGACUGGGCGGCUCGGGUGCGGUAGGGGCAGGCGGAAUACCCGGUGUAGCGGUGGAAUGCGCAGAUAUCGGGUAGAACACCGAUGGCGAAGGCAGCCUGCUGGGCCGUCACCGACGCUGAGGCGCGAAAGCUAGGGGAGCGAACA